rnacentral:misc_RNA from 1 species
GGAAGUAAAAGCGUACAAGGUUUCCGUAGGUGAACCUGCGGAAGGAUCAUUCAUAAUAAAGUGUUUUAUGGCACUUUUUAAAAAUCCAUAUCCACCUUGUGUGCAAUGUUAGAUCUCGUCAAUCUUGGCGAGAUUUUUAUACAUCAACUCAUUCUUUAACUAAUUUGUCUGAAAAAUAUUAUGAAUACUUAAUUCAAAAUACAACUUUCAACAACGGAUCUCUUGGCUCUC